UUAAGCGACUAAGCGUACACGGUGGAUGCCCUGGCAGUCAGAGGCGAUGAAGGACGUGCUAAUCUGCGAUAAGCGUCGGUGAGGUGAUAUGAACCGUUAUAACCGGCGAUUUCCGAAUGGGGAAACCCAGUGUGUUUCGACACACUAUCAUUAACUGAAUCCAUAGGUUAAUGAGGCGAACCGGGGGAACUGAAACAUCUAAGUACCCCGAGGAAAAGAAAUCAACCGAGAUUCCCCCAGUAGCGGCGAGCGAACGGGGAGGAGCCCAGAGCCUGAAUCAGUGUGUGUGUUAGUGGAAGCGUCUGGAAAGGCGCGCGAUACAGGGUGACAGCCCCGUACACAAAAAUGCACAUACUGUGAGCUCGAUGAGUAGGGCGGGACACGUGGUAUCCUGUCUGAAUAUGGGGGGACCAUCCUCCAAGGCUAAAUACUCCUGACUGACCGAUAGUGAACCAGUACCGUGAGGGAAAGGCGAAAAGAACCCCGGCGAGGGGAGUGAAAAAGAACCUGAAACCGUGUACGUACAAGCAGUGGGAGCCUCUUAAUGGGGUGACUGCGUACCUUUUGUAUAAUGGGUCAGCGACUUAUAUUCUGUAGCAAGGUUAACCGAAUAGGGGAGCCGAAGGGAAACCGAGUCUUAACUGGGCGUUAAGUUGCAGGGUAUAGACCCGAAACCCGGUGAUCUAGCCAUGGGCAGGUUGAAGGUUGGGUAACACUAACUGGAGGACCGAACCGACUAAUGUUGAAAAAUUAGCGGAUGACUUGUGGCUGGGGGUGAAAGGCCAAUCAAACCGGGAGAUAGCUGGUUCUCCCCGAAAGCUAUUUAGGUAGCGCCUCGUGAAUUCAUCUCCGGGGGUAGAGCACUGUUUCGGCAAGGGGGUCAUCCCGACUUACCAACCCGAUGCAAACUGCGAAUACCGGAGAAUGUUAUCACGGGAGACACACGGCGGGUGCUAACGUCCGUCGUGAAGAGGGAAACAACCCAGACCGCCAGCUAAGGUCCCAAAGUCAUGGUUAAGUGGGAAACGAUGUGGGAAGGCCCAGACAGCCAGGAUGUUGGCUUAGAAGCAGCCAUCAUUUAAAGAAAGCGUAAUAGCUCACUGGUCGAGUCGGCCUGCGCGGAAGAUGUAACGGGGCUAAACCAUGCACCGAAGCUGCGGCAGCGACACUAUGUGUUGUUGGGUAGGGGAGCGUUCUGUAAGCCUGUGAAGGUGUACUGUGAGGUAUGCUGGAGGUAUCAGAAGUGCGAAUGCUGACAUAAGUAACGAUAAAGCGGGUGAAAAGCCCGCUCGCCGGAAGACCAAGGGUUCCUGUCCAACGUUAAUCGGGGCAGGGUGAGUCGACCCCUAAGGCGAGGCCGAAAGGCGUAGUCGAUGGGAAACAGGUUAAUAUUCCUGUACUUGGUGUUACUGCGAAGGGGGGACGGAGAAGGCUAUGUUGGCCGGGCGACGGUUGUCCCGGUUUAAGCGUGUAGGCUGGUUUUCCAGGCAAAUCCGGAAAAUCAAGGCUGAGGCGUGAUGACGAGGCACUACGGUGCUGAAGCGACAAAUGCCCUGCUUCCAGGAAAAGCCUCUAAGCAUCAGGUAACAUCAAAUCGUACCCCAAACCGACACAGGUGGUCAGGUAGAGAAUACCAAGGCGCUUGAGAGAACUCGGGUGAAGGAACUAGGCAAAAUGGUGCCGUAACUUCGGGAGAAGGCACGCUGAUAUGUAGGUGAAGCGACUUGCUCGUGGAGCUGAAAUCAGUCGAAGAUACCAGCUGGCUGCAACUGUUUAUUAAAAACACAGCACUGUGCAAACACGAAAGUGGACGUAUACGGUGUGACGCCUGCCCGGUGCCGGAAGGUUAAUUGAUGGGGUUAGCGGUAACGCGAAGCUCUUGAUCGAAGCCCCGGUAAACGGCGGCCGUAACUAUAACGGUCCUAAGGUAGCGAAAUUCCUUGUCGGGUAAGUUCCGACCUGCACGAAUGGCGUAAUGAUGGCCAGGCUGUCUCCACCCGAGACUCAGUGAAAUUGAACUCGCUGUGAAGAUGCAGUGUACCCGCGGCAAGACGGAAAGACCCCGUGAACCUUUACUAUAGCUUGACACUGAACAUUGAGCCUUGAUGUGUAGGAUAGGUGGGAGGCUUUGAAGUGUGGACGCCAGUCUGCAUGGAGCCGACCUUGAAAUACCACCCUUUAAUGUUUGAUGUUCUAACGUGGGCCCCUUACCGGGGUUGCGGACAGUGUCUGGUGGGUAGUUUGACUGGGGCGGUCUCCUCCUAAAGAGUAACGGAGGAGCACGAAGGUUGGCUAAUCCUGGUCGGACAUCAGGAGGUUAGUGCAAUGGCAUAAGCCAGCUUGACUGCGAGCGUGACGGCGCGAGCAGGUGCGAAAGCAGGUCAUAGUGAUCCGGUGGUUCUGAAUGGAAGGGCCAUCGCUCAACGGAUAAAAGGUACUCCGGGGAUAACAGGCUGAUACCGCCCAAGAGUUCAUAUCGACGGCGGUGUUUGGCACCUCGAUGUCGGCUCAUCACAUCCUGGGGCUGAAGUAGGUCCCAAGGGUAUGGCUGUUCGCCAUUUAAAGUGGUACGCGAGCUGGGUUUAGAACGUCGUGAGACAGUUCGGUCCCUAUCUGCCGUGGGCGCUGGAGAACUGAGGGGGGCUGCUCCUAGUACGAGAGGACCGGAGUGGACGCAUCACUGGUGUUCGGGUUGUCAUGCCAAUGGCACUGCCCGGUAGCUAAAUGCGGAAGAGAUAAGUGCUGAAAGCAUCUAAGCACGAAACUUGCCCCGAGAUGAGUUCUCCCUGACUCCUUGAGAGUCCUGAAGGAACGUUGAAGACGACGACGUUGAUAGGCCGGGUGUGUAAGCGCAGCGAUGCGUUGAGCUAACCGGUACUAAUGAACCGUGAGGCUUAACCUU
rnacentral:rRNA from 17 species